rnacentral:rRNA from 1 species
AUGGCGUCUCUCUACCGAGGCCUGCUGCUGCUACUCAUGGCGCUUCUCCCAUCCGCCCAUGGAGCAGCAGCCAGGGCUAGAAGCAAAAUCUCCGCCGCCUUCAUGUUCGGCGAUUCGACCGUCGACCCCGGCAACAACAACGACCGGCUGACGGAGGCCAAGGCCAACUUCCCGCCGUACGGGCAGGACUUCCCCGGCGGGGUGGCUACCGGGAGGUUCUCCAACGGGAAGGUUCCCGGAGACAUGCUAGUUUCUAGGCUGGGAAUUAAGGAACUAUUGCCACCCUACCUCAGAAAUGAUCUUCCACUAAGUGAGCUACUCACGGGUGUUGUCUUUGCUUCUGGUGGCAGUGGAUACGAUCCUCUAACUUCGAUACCCUCGACUGCUACAUCGAGUACUGGGCAACUUGAACUAUUCCUUGAAUAUAAGGAGCGACUAAGAGCUUUGGUCGGAGAAGAGGAGAUGACACGUGUAAUCUCCAAAGGCAUAUACUUCACAGUCAUGGGGGCAAAUGACCUUGCAAAUAACUAUUUUACAAUUCCUUUGAGGCGCCAUCAAUAUGACCUUCCUUCGUACGUGAAAUUUCUUGUCUCUUCUGCUGUCAACUUUACUACGAUAUUAAAUGAGAUGGGUGCAAAGAAGAUUGCAAUCAUCGGCAUUGCACCAAUUGGAUGUUGUCCCUCGCAAAGAGCACUUGGAUCAAGAGAAUGUGAGCCCAUGAGGAAUCAAGCAGCAAAUCUAUUUAAUUCUGAAAUAGAAAAGGAAAUACAACGGCUAGAUGCAGAACAAAAUGUUCGAGGCUCAAAGUUUAUUUAUCUUGAUAUAUACUACAAUCUGCUUGAUCUCAUUCAGCGACCUGGUUUUUAUGGUUUCAAGGAGGUAACCGAAGGAUGUUGUGGUAGCACAGUGCUAAAUGCAGCAAUAUUCAUUAAAAAUCACCCUGCCUGCCCAAAUGCUUAUGAUUUCAUUUUCUGGGACAUCUUUCAUCCUACCGAAAAGGCCUACAACAUUGUGGUUGAUAAAUUGUUUCAGCAAACUAUGCAGUACCUGAUGUGA